rnacentral:sRNA from 1 species
UAGUCAUAAGCAUCCUGCUCUGUUGCCGC